rnacentral:lncRNA from 1 species
AGAACUGUGGGGGUAGCCGGCCAUUUUUUUUUUCGAAAGAUUUUCUUUUUUGAUAGAAGAGACAAAGGGAGUUCUUUUGGCUUAAAAUCCGAAUAAUAUUCAUUACUUGCUUGAAAUAAUAUUCAUUACUUGAUAUUCAUUACUUGCUUGAAUUGGUUCUUUCAAGCAUUUAUCGAAAAGGGCUUCGAAUUUGAUCAAUUCAAUUGAGGUAUCUGGAAACAAGAUUUUUUCUUAUUUCUUCAUUUGAAACGGGCUCUUAUUCUAU